rnacentral:rRNA from 1 species
GAUGAACGCUAGCGGCAGGCCUAAUACAUGCAAGCCGGACGGCAAGUUGAGUAGCAAUACUUGACCUAGAGUGGCGUAAGGGUGCGUAACACGUAUGCAAUCUGCCCACAGCCGGGAGAUAGCCCUCCGAAAGGAGGAUUAAUAUCCCAUAGGAAGAUGAGAUGGCAUCAUUUUAUUUUUAAACUACGGGGCUGUGGAUGAGCAUGCGGUUGAUUAGCUAGUUGGCGGGUAAAGGCCCACCAAGGCGAUGAUCAAUAGGGGACCUGAGAGGGUGAUCCCCACACUGGCACUGAGAUACGGGCCAGACUCCUACGGGAGGCAGCAGUAGGGAAUAUUGGACAAUGGGUGUAAGCCUGAUCCAGCCAUGCCGCGUGCAGG